rnacentral:lncRNA from 1 species
AGGUAAGAAUCAGCAGAAAAGAAGGAAUCUUUGGAGAGCCAAAACCAUCUCUACACCAAAUUGAGAGACUGGAAUUAUAAGGAAUAACAAAGCAUCCAUAUGGAACAUAUAUUUGGCAGUGUGGCAGCUGAUGAAACCAGGAAAAUUAGACAAAUUAUCAAUUGCUCGCUCCCAAAUUACCCCAAAAAGAAAUUAGAUCCAUUUUCAGUAGCUUUGCCUUCAAAUUUCUUCAUUCCGUGAGUCACCACUACCUUCUGCCAAACUAAAUAUGUCUAUGAACGGCUGGAAACUUUAAUGGAAAGAAACAUAAAACUCAAACUACGUAGGAAAAUUUAAGCUUCUUCAUGGAAGAUCUUCGUGGAAGACUAGCAAGUUAGGAAUGUGUGAAGACAGACAACACAUCGAUAAUUCCUUUUGUUUGGGGUCACUUCUGAGUUAGAGAGCAAUGCAAC